UACGGAGGGUGCAAGCGUUAUCCGGAUUUACUGGGUUUAAAGGGUGCGUAGGUGGGUCUGUAAGUCAGUGGUGAAAUCUCCGAGCUUAACUCGGAAACUGCCAUUGAUACUAUAGAUCUUGAAUUAUCUGGAGGUAAGCGGAAUAUGUCACGUAGCGGUGAAAUGCUUAGAUAUGACAUAGAACACCAAUUGCGAAGGCAGCUUACUACGGAUAUAUUGACACUGAGGCACGAAAGCGUGGGGAUCAAACAAG
rnacentral:rRNA from 1 species